CUGCAGGCUGUGUAUUUUCAUGCACGCUGAGUCGUGCGGUCUGCGAUCAUAGUAACCUGCAGAGUGGACACUGUACCGGUGCCAGAGUGACGUCUCAGCAAUAAAACAGCUUCCUGUCCGACCAGCUGUGGAACUUUGGCGACAAAAACAAGGACAACCACGGGCAGGUGGGGCUCCACCCUCAGCAGGCGGUGCAGCUCAGCUUUAGCCAGCGGGAGGCGGGUCCUGUCGGAGGAGUCCACCACGUACACCAGAACACUUUUAAGGCUUUUAUCUGGAUUCAGUCAGAGAAACGUGGGUCCCUGUGCACUGUGCAGCUCCUGAUGCGUAGAUGAGAAAAAGAUUGUCGUCGCCCACCGAUCUCUGUGUUCAGAUCAUGAAUAAGUCAGCCGCUGAGCGUGACACAUUCCUCCAAACUCAUCCACGGAAACUCAUUGUGAGACCCGCUGCAGCCCAGAGUCCCGCACUCAGACAACCUCAAUGAGGAGCCAAGUGAUUUAUUUUUAGUGCAGCGCUGUGACUUCAGUGGGAUGCUAAUUAGCAGGAUUUAUGAGAAGUCGAGCUGGCAGGCGGGGGCGUUGAGGCUCAUGAAGUUGAAGCCGCGGGUGGGCCGGCAGCGACCCCUCUUACCCGCUGCCUCCCCGGGGGUCAAACCCUGCAGCAUGCUGCUCUUCCCGGCCCCGUCCAGACCCAGGACCAGGACCUGACGCUUCCCACGCUCCUCCUUCUCCUGCAGGGAGGAAAAAGAACGGCUGCAGAUCUGCACUGCUUAGUUUCUGACAGGGAUUUAACGUCUUGCCCAAGGACACU